CAAGAUGGCAGCGCCCUGGUGGAAAAGGACAAGCUUCUCAUGUCGGGGACCGGAGCUGUGUGGGGCCGAGUGCGAAGCCGGAUACAGAGCUUUCCGGAGAGGCUGGCCACUUGUGGAGUCGAGGCAGCAGCUUAUGGGAAGUGUAUACAGGCCGCCACGGCCCCUGGCGGGGACCUGAGGAGGAAUCUCUGUGCCAAGGAGUUCGAAGCCCUGCGGAAUUGCUUCCUGGCGGUUGCCAAGAAGACCUUGAACUGAGGCAUUAGGAUGGACUUUAAAUCACCAGAAUAUAUCUUCUACUUGGUCCUUCCCAUCAAUAUGAAGUCAAAUAACAAUAUUAACUAUAGCACCAAGGCAUGGAACACCUGAAGCUCUUAGAAAUCUGAUGGAUAGUUGCCUGGCUUCAACUUCCACUAAGAUUUCUGUCUCCAUGCCUACCCUUCUCUCAGCCAACUUCCUGCAAUUCAUUGGACCUGGAUAGUUCUAAUCAACAAGUGCACCAAAAUCUGUGCCCACUGCCUCACCUUGCCUUGACUUAUC